AUUGAACGCUGGCGGCAGGCCUAACACAUGCAAGUCGAGCGGAUGAAGGGAGCUUGCUCCUGGAUUCAGCGGCGGACGGGUGAGUAAUGCCUAGGAAUCUGCCUGGUAGUGGGGGAUAACGUCCGGAAACGGGCGCUAAUACCGCAUACGUCCUGAGGGAGAAAGUGGGGGAUCUUCGGACCUCUCGCUAUCAGAUGAGCCUAGGUCGGAUUAGCUAGUUGGUGGGGUAAAGGCCUACCAAGGCGACGAUCCGUAACUGGUCUGAGAGGAUGAUCAGUCACACUGGAACUGAGACACGGUCCAGACUCCUACGGGAGGCAGCAGUGCGGAAUAUUGGACAAUGGGCGAAAGCCUGAUCCAGCCAUGCCGCGUGUGUGAAGAAGGUCUUCGGAUUGUAAAGCACUUUAAGUUGGGAGGAAGGGCAGUAAGUUAAUACCUUGCUGUUUUGACGUUACCAACAGAAUAAGCACCGGCUAACUUCGUG
rnacentral:rRNA from 1 species